rnacentral:rRNA from 1 species
AACGAACGCUGGCGGCAUGCCUAACACAUGCAAGUCGAACGAGACCUUCGGGUCUAGUGGCGCACGGGUGCGUAACGCGUGGGAAUCUGCCCCUUGGUUCGGAAUAACUUCGGGAAACUGAAGCUAAUACCGGAUAAUGACGUAAGUCCAAAGAUUUAUCGCCAAGGGAUGAGCCCGCGUAGGAUUAGCUAGUUGGUGGGGUAAAGGCUCACCAAGGCGACGAUCCUUAGCUGGUCUGAGAGGAUGAUCAGCCACACUGGGACUGAGACACGGCCCAGACUCCUACGGGAGGCAGCAGUGGGGAAUACUUGGACAAUGGGCGAAAGCCUGAUCCAGCAAUGCCGCGUGAGUGAUGAAGGCCUUAGGGUUGUAAAGCUCUUUUACCCGGGAAGAUAAUGACUGUACCGGGAGAUAAGCCCCGGGCUAACUCCGUGCCAGC